CACACACACACACGGCUGGGGAAAGGGGUUACCCCAGGGCGCAGCCCGGUCCGGGGGGUGGUGCCACCCCCAGCACAAGGACGUGGGAACUGCGGCUCCCAUCGGGGGUGGGGGGUGGGACAGGCUCGGGGGUGUCUCUUACCUUGUCGGAGGAGGAAGCGGCAGGACUCGUUCCUCCUCCCUCCCGCGCUGCCCCUAUGACAGGACCCGACGAAGAACCAGAUUCAGCCGCUGCGGGCUGUUCCUAGAGACUCAGCCCCGCACCGACGACCACCACCGCCGCCGCUGUGGGUGUAGGGUUUGAAAGUGCCCCCCCUCCCCGGCACUGUCGCUCCCCUCCCCCCCGUCAGAAUGUCGGUCUCCGUGUGCAGCUCUGCGGGGCUCCCAUUGGCCGCGCCACCCCACGUGACCCCAAACACGCACGAGAGACAGACGAGAACGCGCCGCCGCGAACGUUACGGGAGUUGGGCGGCGGUUGGGGAAGGAGGGAGAGUCAACGUCACAGUCCUCCUUCCGCAGUGGAUUCCCCCGGUGCCUCAGAUCUCUCGUGCACACGCGCGCAGCGCACACACACACGGAAGGAAAAUAACGGGCCCUAGCAGGCCCGAGGGCGGGGCAGGCAGGCGCGGGGCAGGGCGCAGGCGCCGGGGCGACUGCUCUUGGUCUUGGCUCCUGCGACUGGAACAUUCUGGAAAUGGCGGCUGUGGUGUCCCGGAGAUUGAGAUGAGAUGGGAUGGGAGGAGGGGGGAAGAGACUAGAGCGUCUGCUUCCCCUUGUGACAGGAACCAUGUAGGAGCCGCCAACGCUUCUUCCCGACUCCCAGGCCCAAGGCCCCUUACUUGGGCUACUCCGGGUUUUCCGGCAGCGAUGGCGCAGAUAUACUUGUGGGGAUCUACAGACAGCAGUUGA
rnacentral:lncRNA from 1 species